rnacentral:sRNA from 1 species
AAAUUUCAAACUGUUGAUUGUUGAAUUUGAGAUUCGAACCUGUCACCUCUGACAUGAUAUAUUAAACAAACCACUACAGCAAACAAAAGUAUCUUGAAUCUACAGUAAAACCUCUAUAAAUUAAUACACGAUAAAUUAAUAACCUCUACAAAUUAAUAAAUUCUUCCGGUCCCGAGUUGGGAUCAGUGUAAAAAUUGAUACAAAUCGAUAAAUUAAUAAGAUAAUAUUUUUUUUGAAAAUCCUAUGUAAAUAUAUGGUCCCAUCAAUAUUAUAAAUUAAUAAUUGUAUAAAUUAUGAAUAUAUAUAUAUAUAUAUAUAUUUAUAU